AAUCAACGCUGGCGGCGUGCCUCAGACAUGCAAGUCGAACGCGAAAGUCCCCUUCGGGGGACAAGUAGAGUGGCGCACGGGUGAGUAACACGUAGGUAAUCUACCUUCGGAUGGGGAAUAACAACCGGAAACGGUUGCUAAUACCGCAUAAUGCAGCGGCACCUAAUGGUGACAGUUGUUAAAGCGGGGGAUCGAAAGACCUCGCGUCUGAAGAGGAGCCUGCGGCGGAUUAGCUAGNGGUAAGGUAAUGGCUUACCAAGGCGACGAUCCGUAGCCGGCCUGAGAGGGCGGUCGGCCACACUGACACUGACAUACGGGUCAGACUCCUACGGGAGGCAGCAGUCGGGAAUUUUGGGCAAUGGGCGAAAGCCUGACCCAGCAACGCCGCGUGAAGGAUGAAAUCCC
rnacentral:rRNA from 1 species